rnacentral:rRNA from 1 species
UACGUAGGUGGCAAGCGUUGUCCGGAGUUAUUGGGCGUAAAGCGCGCGCAGGCGGUUGGAUAAGUCCAUGGUGAAAGCGCCUGGCUCAACUAGGCGAGUGCCGUGGGGACUGUUCAGCUGGAGUGGAGCAGAGGCGAGUGGAAUUCCGGGUGUAGUGGUGAAAUGCGUAGAGAUCCGGAGGAACACCAAAGGCGAAGGCAGUGUCCUGGGGAGUACCUGACGCUCAGGUGCGAAAGCCAGGGGAGCGAACGGG